rnacentral:rRNA from 1 species
UACGUAGGGGGCAAGCGUUGUCCGGAUUUAUUGGGCGUAAAGAGCGUGUAGGCGGCCAUGCAGGUCCGUUGUGAAAACUCGAGGCUCAACCUCGAGACGUCGAUGGAAACCGCAUGGCUAGAGUCCGGAAGAGGAGAGUGGAAUUCCUGGUGUAGCGGUGAAAUGCGCAGAUAUCAGGAAGAACACCCGUGGCGAAGGCGGCUCUCUGGGACGGUACUGACGCUGAGACGCGCAAGCGUGGGGAGCGAACAGG